rnacentral:tRNA from 1 species
GUUUUAAUAGUUUAAAAAAAACAUUGAUUUUGUAUAUCAAUAAUAAGAUUUUUCUUUUAAAACU